ACGUUUGAUUAAAUUAGCUGCUAGCAGCUAUUAGGUGAAAAUAAUAAACAGAAGCCCCUCUCCGAACCUAGCAAUGAUAUAUACAGGAAUUACAGCAAUAUUGAUACUUACAAAUAACUAGAAAUGAAAAUUGUGUGAAUAAGGGGCAUGUAAAAAAACGAAAAAAACAAAACAAAACAUGGUAACCCUGACAAUUUGACGAAUUUUUUGGAGGAGAUCACCUACAAUCAGCUGUGACAAGGGAAGAGUGGGAGAAGGAAAUAAAUAAGGGCAUUGGCAUGAAUUACUCCCGUGUCGAUCCCCCAUUCUCAUCUGAGUCCAACAAGGUCUUACAACUAUAACUCCAGAACAAAUCCUCAAGGGAAUUAAAUAAUAAUGACAACUCCUAUGGAAAAGAAAACUUAUUCUUCAGAUUAUCAAUUCCAAAAAAAAAAGGGCCUGCUAAAAAUACACCGGAUUUACAUCACUACUUAUAACCCCAACACAAAUGCUCAGUUUGGUUUCUUUUCAAGAAUAAAAGAAUAACGAAGACAGCAUUGGUAAAUCAAAUUUUCUCUUCAGCAGACAGGACAAUAAUUAUAUCUACUGGUAUACUAAAAAACACCGCAAAAUUAUCGUGGUAACUCUGAUAAUUUGAAGAAUGUUUAGGAGAAGAGCCGUUUGGCUGUCAUGAUAUUUUAUUAGAUUAGCUAUGAGUCGCUUGAGAGGAUUGAUAAGGACGCAAACUCAAAUUCUACUCAAUAUCUAGUAAAAAGUAAAAACAAUGGCAAGAAUUACUUCAAAGUCGAUCCUAAACUCAAGUCUUAGUUGAACAAGGACUUUUUAUCAUAACCAUAAUCAUAACUUCCCAGCCAAUAUUGUAUAGCCAAGAAUGAUUAGAAUAUUUAUCCAUUUUCUUUCUCAGUUUUUAUCAAGAUUUUCCAAUUUGAGGAAAUUGAGCUAAUUCUGGAUCAUUUGUGCCCUAAGAUGGUAAUCCUCUAAAUAAAGGCAUAAAUACAUACAUGCCAAUAUUUCAUAGACAUAUAAGCAGAUAAGUUAUUGGCCAUGUAUUCAAAUUUGUGAGUUGAUUUGAGACAAUUGUUUCUCAUUGUAUCAAUUUAAUUUAUUAUUAUUUUCAAUCAUGUAAUUUUACAAAAAAAAUAAAAAUAUUGAACAAUUUUAUAAAUUCGAUAAAUGAACGGAUCAAAUAUCCAAUAACGUAACUUUUUAUGCAUAUAAAACGCAACCUUAACUGCUGUUG
rnacentral:lncRNA from 1 species